rfam:Colletotrichum gloeosporioides Nara gc5 unplaced genomic scaffold scaffold289, whole genome shotgun sequence.
UCCCCAAAUGAUGAUUUAGACUUCAAAAAUACAGUUAUCCCUGUCCGAGAUACAAAAUAUGUGUGGAUGUAAUCUACCUUCUGAUUUGGCA